UGGAAAAUCCAUUCUAUGUCUGGCUCAUGUCACAUUCAUAUUUCAUGUCUAUUAGAAGAAUCUCAUGCCACAUCAAUUGUUUGUGAUCUACAUUACAUAUAAUAGGCUCUCUGCUUAUCUUUGACACAGGUGAGGGGCUGAUGUAGAAACUGUUAAAAGACUAUACAAUGACUUGUAUAUUCAAUAAUGGCUCAAACUUCAAAGGUCUAUCAUUUUGCCCUGCUCUUCAUUUCUUUCCUCAUAAUGCUUCUCAAAGCAAUCUUGUCUUUCCAGCCUCACAAUCAAGGACAAAUUCCUGAAUGCAACAUUUGCUUUUCCGUCUUCCCGCUUCACCUCACUCAUCCCUGCAGAAGUACAAGUAUUCCUGGCUUCUUCAAGUCUACGCCUAAGAAUUAAGAGCCUUGGGGAGAAGGGCACUGCAUCGACCACUGCAUCUCAAUCAUUGUGGCAGACGUACCACAGCACUGGGAAGCUGGCCUUGGCAAGAAUCUCAGGCUAUUACUACAGAGUUGGGAAGAAGGUUUAGGAUCAAGAUAGAGGUGACUGACCAAGCAAUGCAUAUUCAUCGGACUGCAGAGGUUUAAUGACAUCAGGGAACCAAACGGAUAAUCCAUAGUACCUGCAAAGACAAAGAAAUCAGCAGAAAUGGAGUAAGACAUCUGACAUCCUGGCCCCAAUAUCUUUCUCAUCAUUCCAGUCUGCUCUGAGAAACUCUCUCUCCUAGUCUGGUGGUACAAACUCCUGGGAUCCAAGCACGCUGUGUCAUGCUGCUGUACUGUUCAGUACAGAAGCCACUAACCACGUGUGCCUACCAGGCAGUUGAGAUGUGGCUGGUUCAAACUGAGAUAUACUAUAAAUAUAAAAUACCACAGGAUUUUGAAGACUUACGGAAAAAAA
rnacentral:lncRNA from 1 species